UCCCUCAAAUGAGGGCAGUCUCGUCUGAAAAAUCCAACAGACGAUGAGGGUUUCGCUCGUUUACCCACUUAAGGGCACAGCUCACGCCACGAGCUGACGACAGCCGUGCAACACCUGUCUUGCCGUUCCCUUGCGGGCACGGUCCUGUUUCCAGGACUUUCGGCAGAUGUCAAACCCUGGUAAGGUUCUCCGGUUAGCGUCGAAUUAAACCACAUGCUCCACCGCUUGUGCGAUCCCCCGUCAAUUCCUUUAUGUUUUAGUCUUGCGACCGUACUCCACAGGCGGCACACUUAACGCGUUAGCUACGCUACAAGAAGGGUCGAUACUUCUGAUAGCUAGUGUGCAUCGUUUACGGCGUGGACUAC
rnacentral:misc_RNA from 1 species